GGAAGUAAAAGUCGUAACAAGGUCAUCGUAGGUGAACCUGCGGUGGGAUCAUCAAUAAUCUAACUACCACAACUAUAUGGUGUGAACUAGUGCUGAUUAUGUUUUUGUGAAGUCAUGGAUGAAAAUUUGUGUCUUCAUAUUUUUCUCUCUUCCUAGGAGUUUAGGCUUCUGGGGAGUAGUUGAAAACAACCUGCACUUAACGGUGUUUUUAAUGGCCAAUUUAAUAAACUUUCCGCUAUAAUGAGCUUGUUUUAUUACGAGUUUGUUAGGAAAAAACAAAUAAUUUACUAUCUAGCUGUAAUGGCAAGAUGAUAAUAUUAUAAAACUAUUAAUGGUGGAUCACUUGGCUCUCGCAUCGAUGAAGAACGCAGCGAAUUGCGAAAAUUGUCGUGACUUGCAUCAUCGUGAAUCAUCGAGUUUUCGAACGCACAUUGCACUGUACACUUGUGUACAGUAUGUCUGUUUGAGCAUCAUUAUAUACCCCCACCCACAGGCUUUUUCGUGAAGCUCUGCGGGGAUUGAUGAGCUUAUCUGGCUUCUCUUUUGGAGUCAGUGGUUUGAAAUGCAGAGGUUGUCCAGCUUCGGCGACGACAGAAAUAACCGCUACAUUCAACAGGUCUUUCAAACUUGUUAGGGAGUGUGCAAAACUUGGUUUACCAAAUACUUUUUGCUCGCGUUAGUACCUUUCGAUAAUGACUGGCUUGGUAGCAAUCUUUUCAUAAUGCCUCAGGGUCUUCAUUGAAGCCCGCUUGCAAAAUCUAAACUCAUAUUUUGAUCUCAAAUCAGGCAAGACUACCCGCUGAAUUUAAGCAUAUCAAUAAGCGGAGGA
rnacentral:rRNA from 1 species